rnacentral:rRNA from 2 species
UGCAAGUCGAGCGCGUAGCAAUACGAGCGGCAGACGGGUGAGUAACGCGUGGGAAUCUACCCAGAACUACGGAAUAACACAGAGAAAUUUGUGCUAAUACCGUAUACGCCCUUCGGGGGAAAGAUUUAUCGGUUCUGGAUGAGCCCGCGUUGGAUUAGCUUGUUGGUGGGGUAAUGGCCCACCAAGGCGACGAUCCAUAGCUGGUCUGAGAGGAUGAUCAGCCACACUGGGACUGAGACACGGCCCAAACUUAUACGGGAGGCAGCAGUGGGGAAUAUUGGACAAUGGGCGCAAGCCUGAUCCAGCCAUGCCGCGUGAGUGAUGAAGGCCUUAGGGUUGUAAAGCUCUUUCACCGGUGAAGAUAAUGACGGUAACCGGAGAAGAAGCCCCGGCUUACUUCGUGCCAGCAGCCGCGGUAAUACGAAGGGGGCUAGCGUUGUUCGGAUUUACUGGGCGUAAAGCGCACGUAGGCGGAUAUUUAAGUCAGAGGUGAAAUCCCGGGGCUCAACCCCGGAAUGGCCUUUGAUACUGGGUAUCUAG